rnacentral:rRNA from 1 species
GUGGGGAAUUUUGGACAAUGGGCGCAAGCCUGAUCCAGCAAUGCCGCGUGCAGGAAGAAGGCCUUCGGGUUGUAAACUGCUUUUGUACGGAACGAAACGGUCCGGGUUAAUACCCUGGGCUAAUGACGGUACCGUAAGAAUAAGCACCGGCUAACUACGUGCCAGCAGCCGCGGUAAUACGUAGGGUGCAAGCGUUAAUCGGAAUUACUGGGCGUAAAGCGUGCGCAGGCGGUUUUGUAAGACAGGCGUGAAAUCCCCGGGCUCAACCUGGGAAUUGCGCUUGUGACGGCAAGGCUGGAGUGCGGCAGAGGGGGAUGGAAUUCCGCGUGUAGCAGUGAAAUGCGUAGAUAUGCGGAGGAACACCGAUGGCGAAGGCAAUCCCCUGGGCCUGCACUGACGCUCAUGCACGAAAGCGUGGGGAGCAAACAGGAUUAGAUACCCUGGUAGUCC